rnacentral:rRNA from 1 species
GAUGAACGCUGGCGGCGUGCUUAACACAUGCAAGUCGAACGGGAUCCCAGGAGCUUGCUCCUGGGUGAGGGUGGCGAACGGGUGAGUAAUGCGUGACCGACCUGCCCCAUACACCGGAAUAGCUCCUGGAAACGGGUGGUAAUGCCGGAUGCUCCAGUUGGAUGCAUGUCCUUCUGGGAAAGAUUCAUCGGUAUGGGAUGGGGUCGCGUCCUAUCAGCUUGAUGGCGGGGUAACGGCCCACCAUGGCUUCGACGGGUAGCCGGCCUGAGAGGGCGACCGGCCACAUUGGGACUGAGAUACGGCCCAGACUCCUACGGGAGGCAGCAGUGGGGAAUAUUGCACAAUGGGCGCAAGCCUGAUGCAGCGACGCCGCGUGCGGGAUGACGGCCUUCGGGUUGUAAACCGCUUUUGACUGGGAGCAAGCCCUUCGGGGUGAGU